GACGAACGCUGGCGGCGUGCUUAACACAUGCAAGUCGAACGGAAAGGCCCUGCUUUUGUGGGGUGCUCGAGUGGCGAACGGGGGAGUAACACGUGAGUAACCUGCCCUUGACUUUGGGAUAACUUCAGGAAACUGGGGCUAAUACCGGAUAGGAGCUCCUGCUGCAUGGUGGGGGUUGGAAAGUUUCGGCGGUUGUGGAUGGUCUCGCGGCUUAUCAGCUGGUUGGUGAGGUAGUGGCUUACCAAGGGUUUGACGGCUAGCCGGCCUGGGAGGGUUACCGGCCACCAGGGGACUGAGGUAGGGCCCAGAAUCCUAUGGGAGGCAGUAGUGGGAAAUAUGACACAAUGGGCGGAAGCCUGAUGCAGAAACGCCGCGUGCGGAAUGACGUCUUUCGGGUUGUAAACCGAUUUCGCCUGUGCCGAAGAGUGAGUGACGGUACUGAGUCAAGAAGCAACGGCUAACUACGUG
rnacentral:rRNA from 1 species